rnacentral:rRNA from 1 species
UUUGUACACACCGCCCGUCGCUACUACCGAUUGAAUGGCUCAGUGAGGCUUUCGGACUGAUCUAAGGGAGGAGGCAACUCUUCCCCCUGGUCGGAAAGUUAUCCAAACUCGGUCAUUUAGAGGAAGUAAAAGUCGUAACAAGGUCUCCGUUGGUGAACCAGCGGAGGGAUCAUUA